GAUGAACGCUGGCGGCGUGCCUAAUACAUGCAAGUCGAGCGAACAGACGAGGAGCUUGCUCCUCUGACGUUAGCGGCGGACGGGUGAGUAACACGUGUAUAACCUACCUAUAAGACUGGGAUCACUUCGGGAAACCGGAGCUAAUACCGGAUAACAUGUUGAACCGCAUGGUUCAACAGUGAAAGACGGUCUUGCUGUCUCUUCUAGAUGGAUCCGCGCCGCAUUAGCUAGUUGGUAAGGUAACGGCUUACCAAGGCAACGAUGCGUAGCCGACCUGAGAGGGUGAUCGGCCACACUGGAACUGAGACACGGUCCAGACUCCUACGGGAGGCAGCAGUAGGGAAUCUUCCGCAAUGGGCGAAAGCCUGACGGAGCAACGCCGCGUGAGUGAAGAAGGUCUUCGGAUCGUAAAACUCUGUUAUUAGGGAAGAACAAAUGUGUAAGUAACUAUGCCCGUCUUGACGGUACCUAAUCAGAAAGCCACGGCUAACUACGCG
rnacentral:rRNA from 1 species